UGCUAAUUGAAAUCAGUAGAUAGCUGCAAGGUAAACAAAUCCAGCUGCGACUCUCUGUAGCUGCCUCUUUUCUCCUGGAGAGAGAGAGAGAGAGGAAAGGAAGAGAAAUCGAAUCUGCCUUAACUAGCGAGGAAAAGAACGGAACGGAAAUAAUGGGGGAGGUUCGCGGAGGAUGCUGUCCGCCGAUGGAUCUGUUCAGGUCGGAGGCGAUGCAAUUGGUGCAGCUCAUCAUACCCAUCGAAUCAGCCCAUGUCACGGUCUCUUAUCUGGGCGACCUCGGCUUCCUUCAAUUCAAAGAUCUCAAUUCAGAGAAGAGCCCAUUUCAGAGAACUUAUGCUGCUCAGAUAAAAAAAUGUGGAGACAUGGCACGAAAGUUACGUUUUUUCAAGGAGCAAAUGGAUAAGGCGGGUGUGUCACCUUCAUCAAAGCCUGUGACACAAACUGACAUUGAUAUGGAUGGCCUAGAUUUAAAACUUGGAGAACUUGAGGCAGAACUGGUAGAAAUGAAUGCAAAUAAUGAUAAAUUACAGCGCACUUACAAUGAGCUUAUAGAAUAUAAGCUUGUUCUCCUAAAGGCUGGUGAGUUUUUUUCUUCAGCAUUAAGUAGUGCAACUGCUCAGCAGAGGGAAAUAGAAUCACAUCAAGUUGGUGAAGAAUCACUAGACACUCCUUUACUAGCUGACCAAGAAAUAUCAACUGAUUCAUCAAAGCAAGUAAAGUUGGGGUUUCUCACUGGCCUUGUUCCCAAGGAAAAGUCUUUGGCGUUUGAAAGGAUUAUAUUCCGUGCUACCAGGGGCAAUGUGUUUAUCAGGCAGUCUGCUAUUGAAGUGCCUGUAAUUGAUCCUAUUUCUGGGGAGAAGAUUGAGAAGAAUGUAUUCGUUGUAUUCUAUUCUGGGGAAAGAGCUAAAACCAAAAUACUCAAAAUAUGUGAAGCUUUUGGGGCAAAUCGUUAUCCUUUCACUGAGGAUCUGGGCAAACAAAACCAGAUUAUUGAUGAGGUCUCAGGAAAAGUCUCAGAGUUGAAGACUACCAUAGAUGCAGGAUUACUUCAUAGGAGCAAUUUGUUGCAGACUAUUGGUGAUCAAUUUGUGCAAUGGAACUCAUUGGUGCGGAAGGAGAAAUCCAUCUACCACACUCUGAACAUGCUUAGUCUUGAUGUGACCAAAAAGUGUCUUGUCGCUGAGGGUUGGAGUCCUGUUUUUGCGUCAAAGCAGAUCCAGGAAGCAUUGCAACGGGCUGCAUUUGAUUCCAGCUCACAGGUUGGGGCCAUUUUCCAGGUUUUGCAUACAAAGGAGUCCCCACCUACUUAUUUUCGCACAAAUAUAUUUACUACUGCUUUCCAGGAAAUUGUUGAUGCAUAUGGGGUGGCCAGGUAUCAAGAAGCAAAUCCUGGUGUAUACACUAUUGUUACAUUCCCUUUCCUUUUUGCUGUCAUGUUUGGUGAUUGGGGGCAUGGAAUAUGCUUGUUACUCACAACUUUAGUCUUUAUAAUCAGGGAAAAUAAACUUUCUGGACAGGUAAACUCCAUGUGAUUUGUUAUCAUCAACCAGAAAAUUAUGCAUUUGAUUUUUAUCGUGAUAUUAUUGUUGUAUAACAUUGACCUCAUUGAAUUUUAAAUGGUCUUUCAGCUUUCAUCAAUUUAUUUAUGGUUGUAAUAACAAAUGAUUUUAGAUAUGCUUGUAUCAAGAAUAAAAUGUGUUCCUAGCUAUACUUGGAAUGUAACUAAUAAUGCUUCUUGUGAACUACAGAAGCUUGGGGAUAUCACUGAAAUGACUUUUGGUGGUCGUUAUGUUAUCUUGUUGAUGGCCCUCUUCUCAAUUUACACCGGUUUGAUCUAUAAUGAGUUCUUCUCAGUUCCCUUUGAGCUGUUUGGACAUUCAGCAUAUGCAUGUCGUGAUCUUUCUUGCAGGGAUGCUACUACAGAUGGAUUGAUUAAGGUGGGCCCUACUUACCCAUUUGGUGUGGAUCCUGUGUGGCAUGGCACUCGCAGUGAGCUGCCAUUUCUAAACUCUUUGAAGAUGAAAAUGUCAAUCCUUCUUGGAGUUGCCCAAAUGAAUCUUGGUAUCAUAUUGAGUUACUUCAAUGCUGUUUAUUUUCGAAAUGGCUUGAAUAUCUGGUUUCAGUUCAUUCCCCAAAUGAUAUUUUUAAACAGCUUGUUUGGCUAUUUAUCACUCCUUAUCAUUGUGAAGUGGGCCACUGGUUCACAGGCUGAUUUAUACCAUGUAAUGAUAUACAUGUUCUUGAGUCCAACAGAUGAAUUAGGGGAAAAUCAACUCUUUGCAGGACAAAAGAUGGUACAGCAAGUUCUCUUAUUACUGGCCCUUGUUUCGGUGCCAUGGAUGCUGCUUCCAAAGCCUUUCCUUAUGAAGAAGCAGCACGAAGAUAGGCACUUAGGACAAUCAUACACACCACUUCAGAGUACUGAGGAGUCUCUUCAAGUGGAGGUGAAUCAUGAUUCCCAUGGUCAUGAAGAAUUUGAAUUCAGUGAAGUUUUUGUACAUCAGCUGAUACAUACCAUUGAGUUUGUACUUGGAGCAGUCUCAAACACAGCAUCUUACCUUCGUCUAUGGGCCCUCAGGUAUGUCACUAUAAAGUUGAAGAUACACAUUGGUCUGCAUUCAAAUUCUUGUUCAUCUGUUGAGCCUGGAUGAGAUUAGUUCAAUAUUAUACCUUUGUAAAAAUUUGUCUUCUGGACUGUUCAACAUUGGUUGUGGAUAACUCGAUAUGCAUAUAUUUUCACACCUAUUGCCACAGAGUUGGGUGGUCACAUGCAAAGGCAUGUUAUAUUCUCUUUGUUAAAAGUCUCAAGGAUGCCAUCUUCAUGUCUGUGUAUUGCUUGUGAGAGGAGCAUUGAUGUUGCAUGACGCUGGCACCUCUAGAUAGCUUCCACAUAAUUGGCUGUGGUCUCUUCUCCAGCAUCAUUUUCUUUUUAUUUGGACAGGCAUCUGAUCCAUCCAGUGGGACUAAUUAUGUGCUUUAUCUUGUCACUCUCAUUCUGCAGUCUUGCCCACUCAGAACUGUCAAGUGUAUUCUAUGAGAAAGUUCUUCUCCUUGCUUGGGGGUUCAACAAUGUAAUUAUCCUCAUUGUCGGCAUCAUCAUCUUUAUUUUUGCAACUAUUGGUGUGUUGCUGGUGAUGGAAACUCUCAGUGCUUUCCUACACGCUUUGCGACUUCAUUGGGUGGAAUUCCAAAACAAGUUCUAUGAGGGAGAUGGUUAUAAAUUCUAUCCUUUUUCAUUUGCAUUACUUAGCGACGAAGAUGAAUGAUUCACUGAAGUCAGUCAUGGUUGGCAUCAAUGAUAAUGGUCUGCAGUAGUGUGCAUAGGUAUAUGAUUGAAGUUGAUUUUAUUCAUUUGAACAUGAUGAGAAGCUGGUUAAUAUGAAUCUUGUAGGGAGAGUUAAGGCAGCUUUCUACCAUUUGAGCACUGCUCCUUUCCCUUCCAAAUGUUCUUUUCUAUUGGGAGGAAUAAGCAGUUUUCUUGUUUG
rnacentral:misc_RNA from 1 species